ACAUCCAGCGAACUUGGCAGAGAUGCCUUGGUGCCUUCGGGAACGCUGAGACAGGUGCUGCAUGGCUGUCGUCAGCUCGUGUUGUGAAAUGUUGGGUUAAGUCCCGNAACGAGCGCAACCCUUAUCCUUUGUUGCCAGCGAUUCGGUCGGGAACUCAAAAGGAGACUGCCGGUGAUAAACCGGAGGAAGGUGGGGAUGACGUCAAGUCAUCAUGGCCCUUACGAGUAGGGCUACACACGUGCUACAAUGGCGCAUACAAAGAGAAGCGACCUCGCGAGAGCAAGCGGACCUCAUAAAGUGCGUCGUAGUCCGGAUCGGAGUCUGCAACUCGACUCCGUGAAGUCGGAAUCGCUAGUAAUCGUGGAUCAGAAUGCCACGGUGAAUACGUUCCCGGGCCUUGUACACACCGCCCGUCACACCAUGGGAGUGGGUUGCAAAAGAAGUAGGUAGCUUAACCUUCGGGAGGGCGCUUACCACUUUGUGAUUCAUGACUGGGGUGAAGUCGUAACAAGGUAGGCGUAGCGAG
rnacentral:rRNA from 1 species